rnacentral:rRNA from 1 species
UAUUGCACAAUGGGGGAAACCCUGAUGCAGCGACGCCGCGUGAGUGCAGAAGUAUUUCGGUAUGUAAAGCUCUAUCAGCAGGGAAGAAGCAAGACGGUACCUGACUAAGAAGCCACGGCUAACUACGUGCCAGCAGCCGCGGUAAUACGUAGGGGGGCAAGCGUUAUCCGGAUUUACUGGGUGUAAAGGGAGCGUAGACGGUGAGGCAAGUCUGAAGUGAAAGCCCGGGGCUUAACCCCGGGACUGCUUUGGAAACUGUCUGACUGGAGUGCUGGAGAGGUAAGUGGAAUUCCUAGUGUAGCGGUGAAAUGCGUAGAUAUUAGGAGGAACACCAGUGGCGAAGGCGGCUUACUGGACUGUAACUGACGUUGAGGCUCGAAAGCGUGGGGAGCAAACAG